ACCCACUCCUAGCACGGGGAGGUAGUGACGAAAAAUAACAAUACGGGACUCUUUCGAGGCCCCGUAAUUGGAAUGAGUACACUUUAAAUCCUUUAACGAGGAUCAAUUGGAGGGCAAGUCUGGUGCCAGCAGCCGCGGUAAUUCCAGCUCCAUAGCGUAUAUUAAAGUUGUUGCAGUUAAAAAGCUCGUAGUUGGAUUUCAGGUCCAGGCCCUCGGUCUCGCCUUUGUGCUGACUGGCUGGCCCAGACCUAUUUGCCGGCAUUCUCUUGGUGCUCUUUACCGAGUGUCCACGGAGCGGCUGGGACGUUUACUUUGAAGAAAUUAGAGUGUUCAAAGCGGACGACACACGUUCGAAUCAAUGUGCAUGGAAUAAUAGAAUACGACCUCGGUUUCAUUUUGCUGGUUUUCGAAGCUCGAGGUAAUGAUCAACAGGGACAGCCGGGGCCAUCCGUACUACCGUGUUAGAGGUGAAAUUCUUAGAUCAUCGUAAGACGAACUGCAGCGAAAGCGUUUGGCAAGUGUGCCUCCAUUAAUCAAGAGCGAAAGUCGGAGGUUCGAAGACGAUCAGAUACCGUCCUAGUUCCGACCAUAAACGAUGCCGACUGGAGGCCCGACGGUGUUGUUUCCGUGACCCUUAGGGAAUCCAGCCAGGGAAACCAAAGUCUUUGGGUUCCGGGGGAAGUAUGGUUGCAAAGCUGAAACUUAAAGGAAUUGACGGAAGGGCACCACCAGGAGUGGAGCCUGCGGCUUAAUUUGACUCAACACGGGAAAACUCACCCGGCCCGGACACCGUAAGGAUUGACAGAUUGAGAGCUCUUUCUUGAUUCGGUGGGUGGUGGUGCAUGGCCGUUCUUAGUUGGUGGAGUGAUUUGUCUGGUUAAUUCCGAUAACGAACGAGACUCUGGCCUGCUAAAUAGUCCGCCGGUUCCCCGUAUCGCCGGCGCCGACUUCUUAGAGGGACAAGUGGCUUUUAGCCACGCGAGAAUGAGCAAUAACAGGUCUGUGAUGCCCUUAGAUGUCCGGGGCCGCACGCGCGCUACACUGAAGGACUCAGCUGGCUUUUCCUGUCCGAGAGGAUUGGAUAACCCUUUGAACCUCCUUCGUGCUAGGGAUUGGGGCUUGUAAUUAUUCCCCAUGAACGAGGAAUUCCCAGUAAGCGCGGGUCAUAAGCUCGCGUUGAUUACGUCCCUGCCCUUUGUACACACCGCCCGUCGCUACUACCGAUUGGAUGGUUUAGUGAGAUCCUCGGACUGGCCCCGGCCGCUUGGGUGGUUCGCUGCCCCGACCGGAUUUGUGCCGGGAAGA
rnacentral:rRNA from 1 species